CUUUGGGUCGUAGCUCAGGUGGUUAGAGCGCACCCCUGAUAAGGGUGAGGUCGGUGGUUCGAGUCCUCCCAGACCCACCACUCUGAAUGUAUCGCACACUAAGAAUUUAGAUGCUCGGCGUUGAGGCCGUAGCGUUGUUCUUUAAUAAUUUGUGAUGUAGCGAGCGUUUGAGAACAAACUUCUCGACGUGUCGUUGUGGCUAAGGCGGGGACCUCGAGUCCCUAGAAAUUGAGUCGUUAUAGUUCGCGUCCAGGCUUUGUACCCCUGGGCUGAAUAUGACCUUGAGGC
rnacentral:misc_RNA from 1 species